CCUACGGGAGGCAGCAGUGGGGAAUAUUGGGCAAUGGAGGCAACUCUUACCCAGCAAUGCCGCGUGAAUGAAGAAGGUCUUCGGAUUGUAAAGUUCUUUAAUUGGGGACGAAAAAAAUGACGGUACCCAAGGAAUAAGCCUCGGCUAACUGCGUGCCAGCAGCCGCGGUAAAACGUAGGGGGCAAGAGUUGUUCGGAAUGACUGGGGGUAAAGGGUGUGUAGGAGGUGUAGCAAAGUAGAAGGGGAAUACCUAGGGCUUAACUCUGAUGCUGCUUUUAAAACUGCUAUACUUGAGUGCAGUAGAGGAAAGUGGAAUUCCUAGUGUAGCGGUGGAAUGCGUAGAUAUUAGGAGGAACAUCAGUGGCGAAGGCGACUUUCUGGACUGUAACUGACGCUGAGGCACGAAAGUGUGGGGAGCAAACAGGAUUAGAUACCCCAGUAGUC
rnacentral:rRNA from 1 species